GGAACUGAAACAUCUAAGUACCUGAAGGAAGAGAAAGAAAUUCGAUUCCGUAAGUAGCGGCGAGCGAACGCGGAUUAGCCCAAACCAAUAAAGUUUUCUUUAUUGGGGUUGCGGACAUAUCAUAACGAAGAGGUAUCGUAAUUGAAGAGGUUUGGAAAGACCCACCACAGAAGGUAAUAGUCCUGUAUGUUAAACGAGAAGACUUCAGAUAUGAUCCAGAGUACCACGGGACACGUGAAACCCUGUGGGAAGCAGGAGGGACCACCCUCCAAGGCUAAAUACUACCUAGUGACCGAUAGCGUAUAGUACCGUGAGGGAAAGGUGAAAAGAACCCCGGGAGGGGAGUGAAAUAGAA
rnacentral:rRNA from 1 species